rnacentral:tRNA from 1 species
UAAGGUGGCUGAGUAAAGUGAUGGAUUGUAGCUCCACUAAUAAAGGUUUAAAUCCUUUUCUUGC